AGUUGUUGAUGUACUCGAGCAAAUCUCUUUCCCUUGUAUAUUACUGAGAAGCUCGAAAGGAGAAAAAAAUUGAUGCAUGAUUAGGCUGGAGGAAAACGAAAAGCUUGUGUUGACUCCAUUCGAAAAAAACCUCGAAAUCUGGAGACAGCUUUGGCGAGUGCUUGAACGUAGUGACUUGAUUGUUAUGAUAGUUGAUGCUAGCGAUACACUCUUCUACCGUUGCCCUGAUCUUGAGGCAUAUAUGCUCGAGAGAUCGAUGAGCAUAAGAAACUCAUGCUUCUAGUUAACAAUGCGGAUAUUUUACCUCCUUACGUCAGGUAAGCAACCCUCUUCUGAUCAAGUGGUUUGACUUCUAUAUGGACUAGGGAGAAAUGGGCAGAAUAUUUUCGCCUCAACAACAUCCUCUUCGUCUUCUGGUCAGCCAUGUCCGCUUCAGCUCUCCUCGAAGGGAAAAUCAUGAAAGAGCAAUGGAGACAACCCGGUAACUUUCAAAAGACAGAAGAUCCAGAAGUUGUGAUAUGCGGCAUAGACAGAGCUCUUGGGACGGUUACAGUCUGAGGCUCAAGAGAUCGUCAGAGCAAGAAACUCUAGAGCAGUGAGUGAGAGUGCUCUUGGGUCCCUAUUUACAUAUACAAAUUUUCAAAAAAUUUGGGGGCCUGAGUCAUAUUUCAUUAGGCUUCGCCCAGGACCGCCUCUGCACUUGGGACGAUGAGUGAGGAGAAGGUGGAGGAUACUAGGUGCUGAGAUAGGUUCGGAUGAUGAUGAGGAGGAAAGCGAGGAGGCUCCUGGUAUUGAUGAUGUGUUGGAUGAUUUGAGCUCGUUUGAUCUGGCAAAUGGGCUUGCGUCUUCUAAGAAAGUGAUGGUGAAGAAGGAGAAGGCGUCGCAUAAGCAGCAUAAGAAGCCGCAGAGGAAGAAGGAUAGGGACUGGAGGGUUAAGAACGCAGAGGGUGGUGAUGGUAUGCCUCUGGUUAGAGUUUUUCAGAAACCUGCUAAUACAGGGCCUCUCACUAUGCGGUGAUUAGUGUGACAAGUAACCAAAGUGUAGUCAUCGUAGCAAAGAUAUUAUGUUCCUAAGUUUAUGUGAUAGAGAUGAGAUGAUGGUGUAUUAUCAGUCUAAGAUACUUUUUUGUCAACAGAUACUUAAAAAGUUUUUUUUAAUAAUAUUUUUUAGAGUUUUGUUAA